rnacentral:rRNA from 1 species
GAUGAACGCUGGCGGCGUGCCUAAUACAUGCAAGUCGAGCGAACAGACGAGGAGCUUGCUCCUCUGACGUUAGCGGCGGACGGGUGAGUAACACGUGGAUAACCUACCUAUAAGACUGGGAUAACUUCGGGAAACCGGAGCUAUUACCGGAUAAUAUAUUGAACCGCAUGGUUCCAUAUUGCAAGCCGGUUUUGCUGCCACUUAUAGAUGGAUCCGCGCCGCAUCAGCUAUGUGGUAAGGUAACGGCUUACCAAGGCGACGAUGCGUAGCCGACCUGAGAGGGUGAUCGGCCACACUGGAACUGAGACACGGUCAAGACUCCUAAGGGAGGCAGAAGUAGGGAAUCUUCCGCAAUGGGCGAAAGCCUGACGGAGCAACGCCGCGUGAGUGAUGAAGGUCUUCGGAUCGUAAAACUCUGUUAUUAGGGAAGAACAAAUGUGUAAGUAACUAUGCACGUAUUGACGGUACCUAAUCAGAAAGCCACGGCUAACUACGUG